rnacentral:tRNA from 1 species
GGGGAUAUAACUUAGUGGCAGAGUGCUUACUAGCAUGUAUGAAGCCCUGGGUUCGAUCCACAGUACCAUUA